UACGAGUGCCCCGAGCGUUAUCCGGAAUCAUUGGGCGUAAAGGGUGUGUAGAUUGUUUUGUUAGUCUUUUGUUAAAUUCUUCGGCUUAACCGGGGGCAUGCAAAAGAAACGGCAAGACUGGAGGGUGCGAGGGGUUUGCGGAACUCAUAGUGUAGGGGUGAAAUCCGUUGAUAUUAUGGGGAACACCAAAAGCGAAGGCAGCAAACUGGCGCAUUCCUGACAUUGAAACACGAAAGCGUGGGUAGCGAAUGGG
rnacentral:rRNA from 1 species